rnacentral:rRNA from 1 species
ACGAAGGGUGCAAGCGUUAGUCGGAAUUACUGGGCGUAAAGCGUGCGUAGGCGGUUUUCUAAGUCUGCCGUGAAAGCCCCGGGCUCAACCUGGGAAUGGCGGUGGAUACUGGAAAGCUGGAGUGCGGUAGAGGAGGGUGGAAUUCCCGGUGUAGCGGUGAAAUGCGUAGAGAUCGGGAGGAACAUCAGUGGCGAAGGCGGCCCUCUGGACCAGCACUGACGCUGAGGCACGAAAGCGUGGGGAGCAAACAGGA